rnacentral:rRNA from 1 species
UGCAGUCGACGGUAACAUUUCUAGCUUGCUAGAAGAUGACGAGUGGCGGACGGGUGAGUAAUACUUAGGAAUAUGCCUUUGUGUGGGGGAUAACCAUUGGAAACGAUGGCUAAUACCGCAUAAYGUCUUCGGACCAAAGGGGGCYUUGGCUCCCGCGCAAAGAGUAGCCUAAGCGAGAUUAGCUUGUUGGUGAGGUAAAGGCUCACCAAGGCGACGAUCUCUAGCUGUUCUGAGAGGAAGAUCAGCCACACUGGAACUGAGACACGGUCCAGACUCCUACGGGAGGCAGCAGUGGGGAAUAUUGCACAAUGGGGGRAACCCUGAUGCAGCCAUGCCGCGUGUGUGAAGAAGGCCUUCGGGUUGUAAAGCACUUUCAGUUGUGAGGAAAGGUUAACGGUUAAUACCCGUUAGCUGUGACGUUAGCAACAGAAGAAGGACCGGCUAACUCCGUGCCAGCAGCCGCGGUAAUACGGAGGGUCCGAGCGUUAAUCGGAAUUACUGGGCGUAAAGCGCACGCAGGCGGUUUGUUAAGCUAGAUGUG